rnacentral:rRNA from 1 species
UACGUAGGGUCCGAGCGUUGUCCGGAAUUAUUGGGCGUAAAGGGCUCGUAGGCGGUUCGUCACGUCGGGAGUGAAAUCCCGGGGCUCAACCCCGGAACUGCAUCCGAUACUGCCGUGCUCGAGGGUUGGAGAGGUAGCUGGAAUUAUCGGUGUAGCAGUGAAAUGCGUGGAUAUCGAUAGGAACACUCGUGGCAAAGGCGAGCUACUGGGCAACAUCUGACGCUGAGGCUCGAAGGCCAGGGGAGCAAAAGGG